rnacentral:rRNA from 1 species
UACGUAGGGUGCAAGCAUUAAUCGGAUUUAUUGGGCGUAAAGGGCGCGCAGGCGGGGAUGCAAGUCAGAUGUGAAAUCCCGGGGCUCAACCCCGGAACAGCAUUUGAAACUACAUCUCUAGAGGGUAGACGGAGAAAACGGAAUUCCACAAGUAGCGGUGAAAUGCGUAGAUAUGUGGAAGAACACCAGUGGCGAAGGCGGUUUUCUAGUUUAUACCUGACGCUGAGGCGCGGAAGUAAGGGGAGCAAACAGG